ACUUUUUUUUUUUUUUCCUGUGGGGAGCCGGUGACCGUCACAGUGCUUGCCGCUGCUGAAAGCUCCAAGUUCUGGAGCACUAGGGAACCCCUUGCUCUGGAGCAGGAACCCGAUUUCGAGGCCCAAACGCUGCAACUCAAGACCUCUCAGCAGAGUUUAGGAGUGGAGCUGGUUCUCCGCCCACACACGUGUAGGGCGGGUUUACCGCACGUACGGGUCACGUGCCAUUUGGUUACACCAACCUUGGGGCGUUUUCCACCGGGCUGGUCAGGUAGGGGAAACAAAUUGGAGCGCCAACAGAGGUAACAUCUUAAUUAACCAGGGUCCCCAUGGAGACCAGAGUGUUUCAAACGCAUCCCAUUUUUUACCAAGAAUUUUAUCCCCAACAACUCAGCUGGGGAAGACUCUGAAAGCAGCGCAUUUUGGGUCCACGGGCUUCACUGGACCAGCAGAGCGCUGAGCACGUGGGAAACACGUGGGAAGGCCUUGCCUCCUGGGAAAGAAAGUGAUGCCCCGGGGCCUUGCUUGCGCAGGUGUGAUGGAUCUCCAGCCGUUGCUGGGAGGUCUCCUCCCGGGCAGCCCAGCAGCCCCGAGGCUUCCAGAAAGCCUGUCCCGUCCCAAACCACUGCUCCUUCCCUGGAAGGGAGAGCUCUGGUCCAGAUCUCCAAACAAGCACGUGCGCUUUCCUUCUACGACGCAGUGGUGAGGAACUGCUUCGCUUUGAGACUUUAAACGGAGAAAAAGAGAAGGAGAAAAAAAGGGGGCAGGGAAAGUCUGGGGAAAAUGAAUAACGCAAUAGUCUUUGGGCAUCAGGACAGAACCGCCAGUAGGCACUACCCACUGAAGCGAAGGAACGAGACAGCGCUUCUCAACUGCGGUCCAGAAGAUCAAAAUCGGUGAAAGGGAUUUCUGCUCCCUCUUGGCGACCCUCACCGCUGGGCGGAGAGCGAGGCCAGGCCUGCGUGCCCAGCAGAGUCCCCUGGCCUUCUGAAAAGCAGUGCAGCAUUUCCAGCACUGUCAGGCUGCCAGCACACACAGUGAUGUCAUUUGCUGAAGACACACUCCUGGAAUCUCUGAGGGGUUGGUCCACUCUCCAGAUCUGCAUGCCAGACUGCACCCUACUCUUUGCUGUCCUCCGCAGCGGGGCACUUACUCUGAAAGUGGAGUCCUGAGAGGCCCUGAGGGGUCUGCAGUGAAGCCAGAGUCCAGGCCAGCCACUGUUCUCAUGCAGGCUUUUCAAACACAGGCGCUGAGAAGUGAAAACUUAGGUUCUGUGUUUUUCAUACAGCCUUUGCCUGAGAACACCUGAUUUACCAUUUCUCUUAAAAGAUGUUGAUGGACUCUGCGAGGGAAAUAACGGUUACAGCAUCUGUAAUUCUAUGUCUGAAUUAAACAGCCGUGCUCAGGAACCCACAUGGACACUGGGCAUCAGGCAUCCAUGCUUGCAUUUUAUUUCUGGGUGAUCACGGGCAGCGAUGUGGGAGGACAUGUUAUACAAAAUAGAAACGAGAUUCCGGAGUCUUUUACUGUGUUUUUGUUUAUAUCCCAGCUGAUAACAGAGUAAAGCCUCCCUUAUGUUGGUUUGAAUUCACAUUGGUACAGUCAGGAUAAAACAUUUUCCACCCAGCUAACUGUAAGAUUAGGAAGAAAGAAAAACUGAUGGGUACUUAGAACCUGGGGCAGAGCUGUUUGUACGAAUUCCAUCAGGAAUCUCCCACGAGUGACGGGAAAGCUACAAACAGGCCUCUCCCCUGUGUGUGUCCCACCUGCCCUGCCCCAGGGCAGCUCUGUUAAGGCUCGGAUGCAUCCGGGUGGGUCUGAGAGAAUAUCAGGAACAUCUGUAAGGGUAGAGCAGACACAUCAGCUGGCUCAGGUCCACCACCACCUCCUGAAAUUAGCGUUUCAGCACACAAGACGAAAGAGCGUGUAUUAAAGGCCUGUCUGCUUUCAGUUUUGGUGCAAGCUAUGAGUAGCUGUUAAUCUCCUUUUGACAAUUCACCCUAAGAGACAGCCUCCGAGGUGAAUUCCAAAGCCACCCUUGGCCUUAGGGUCACGCAACACCAUCACCUGUUUCCAUGGCAAUGAUGCUAACGUGACACCUGACCCGGGGUGCUACCAUGGAAAACACUGACAUCAGACAGCACUGUGGGAGCACUGAUGUCUUGGCGGAUUAGAAGUCCUUCCUUAGAAGGCACGACCUCGACAAAUCACGCACUUGGGCAGACUUGCGUGUGUUAAGCUGAAGCAUGCACUAGUGGGAAAUGUGCAGAUCAAGAGAUGCUAUAGAAAUGGAGCAUUUCAUCUGUUGGUGACAGCCCUUAGGAUCGCUAUUUUGUAAUAGUAC
ensembl:lncRNA